rnacentral:rRNA from 1 species
CCGUAGCCCAAGAGAUCGGGAUAACACCUGUAAACAUAUGCUAAUACCGGAUAACAACAGAUGAUGCCUAUCAACUGUUUAAAAGAUGGUUCUGCUAUCACUCUUGGAUGGACCUGCGGUGCAUUAGCUAGUUGGUAGGGUAACGGCCUACCAAGGCGAUGAUGCAUAGCCGAGUUGAGAGACUGAUCGGCCACAUUGGGACUGAGACACGGCCCAAACUCCUACGGGAGGCAGCAGGC